rnacentral:rRNA from 1 species
UACGAAGGGUGCAAGCGUUACUCGGAAUUCCUGGGCGUAAAGCGUGCGUAGGUGGUUUGUUAAGUCUGUUGUGAAAGCCCCGGGCUCAACCUGGGAAUGGCAAUGGAUACUGGCAGGCUAGAGUGCGGUAGAGGGUAGUGGAAUUCCCGGUGUAGCGGUGAAAUGCGUAGAGAUCGGGAGGAACACCAGUGGCGAAGGCGGCUACCUGGACCAGCACUGACACUGAGGCACGAAAGCGUGGGGAGCAAACAGG